rnacentral:rRNA from 1 species
ACAAUGGGGCGCAGCCUGAUGCAGCCAUGCCGCGUGUAUGAAGAAGGCCUUCGGGUUGUAAAGUACUUUCAGCGGGGAGGAAGGGAGUAAAGUUAAUACCUUUGCUCAUUGACGUUACCCGCAGAAGAAGCACCGGCUAACUCCGUGCCAGCAGCCGCGGUAAUU